GCGCGAUGGCUUCGUCUGUGAGUUCAUCUGUCCGGUAUUCGAUCGCUGUAGGCUGAUCUGCUUCGAUAGGUGACACCAGUUCUCCCGAUGCUUGCGCGCUCGGUUGAGAACAGAAUGGAACCCCCUCGGAUGCUCGCGUGGAUUAGAGAUUAAAGUAGGAGUAACUCGCCCCCACUUAAUUCUUCCCCUUCGGCAUCUCAGUGCGAUAAGCCAUCAACCACAUCCAUAUAGGCACUGCACGGGGCAGUAUGCCUUCAUUU
rnacentral:snRNA from 1 species